UCGAUUUUGUUGAUUACUAAUGUUUACUUAUUUUUGGGGUAAAUUUCCUCUAACGGCUAGCGAAAUCAGCUUUAACCGACUCCACAUACACGUAAUUAAUGUAAGAAUUGCUUCAAAUAACUUAAACCACUUAUUUACGUCGAAUGGAUAACAAUUCCACUCAUCCUAAAGGAACGGGCACUUGAAGGUAGAUAAUAAAUUGAAAAUUUCGUCGUAGAGUGACCUAGCUGCAAACAAAAUGUCGUAACAGAUACUUGUUUUGAGGCUGGUAUGAC